rnacentral:misc_RNA from 1 species
GAAGAACUGUUUCAAUUCUAAAAAAAUUCAACACUAGUUUAUCAGUAGAGCAGUACAGAGCAGGUAUCUUUCGAGGCACAAAAACACACUAGUAAUAUAGUAGAUGAGUUGAACCAAAUAUGCAAUGCCAUAGAUAGAUGAUCUUUCGAGAAACAUAAUACAACGGAUUUGGAAGUUUGAAUGUCCUUUUCACACUUAGGAGCCCUUCAAAGCUGCUAUAUUGGUCUCCAAGAAUGCCCCAAAUGCGAUACUCGUUACCCCAUCCAAUUCAUCAUCUGAACCACUAUAUUAAACUAGAAGUAUAUGCAUUCCCUUGAAACAUAUGCAUACAACUUGGAGAAAGCAUGAAUGCUUGACACUGAAAAAGAGAGAUUCUGACGUCAAUACGAGACUAGCUGUUAUAACCAACAUCAACAAGGUUAUCCAUUAUGGCUGAUCUGAGAUGUUCUCUUCUAGAAGGAACCAAAAUGACUUGAACUUUCCUGGAUUUUAAGUCGUUGAAGAGCUUCAGAGAGUGUUCCAGGGCUGGUGCUUUGCCUUUACUCAUCCAUUCCUCAAGUGAUGUCAAGUUCAGCUACUCCCCACUGCCCACAAUGAAAGGCCUUUGUCACUCUUGUAAUCAAAUGAAAUGGAAAGGACCUAAGGGGAGAGUCAAGAGAGGUAACCAAAAUGGUGUUUCUUGAAACAAGGCACGGCAAUGUUCGUUUAAUUGAAGAACAGACGAUUUCUAUUAUUUCUGGGUACAUAAAUGAUUGAUUUUGGAAAGUGAAGCCUCCAAGUACACUGAUUUUUUCCAGCUCAAAUGCACAAUAUAUAAUUAGCAUUUUUAGAUAGAUUGAUAGCAGCAUCGCAAGUUGUAACCCAAUAACAUAUUACACAAUCACAAACUACGAAAAUCUAGCAAUUAGCGAAGCCUUCUACUAAACUAACCAGAGAUGGGCAAUCUUAUAACUAAAUAACAGAGGCACUUGUCACUUACAAAUGGAUGAUAAAAAAAAUGGGAUACCAAACAAAAGUAUUAUAACUCUAAAUCAAGGAGUCAUUUUUAAAAAAAAAAACCAAUCUUAAUAAGGAAAAAGGAAAAUCCAUGUAAACACGGUGCAUGUGUAUCCUUGAGGGGGUUAGAGAGAGAUGGAUGUAUCAACUACAUAACUUUGAAAUUCAUAAAAAUUAAUAACUUCGAAAUUUAUAAAAAUUAAAAACUUCAAAAUUUAUAAAAAUUAAAACCAUUACAAUUAUAACAAACUCUCAUCGCAUAAAUUCCAUGUGGUUAAUAACCGCCUGCAAAAUCCACAAGCAAAAAUUUGCUCAACUUUCAAGCAACAGUCUACAUCAACCCUAACGGCACAUGUAAAAAUGUGACAAUUGCGGUCCAAAAACAGGACCAAAAGAGUAGGUAGGCACUUAUACGAUAGCAUUUGCUGCACUUGCAAUCCUUGGCCACAGAUCAGCACAUUCCUUUCCAAUUGGACCAGUAAUUGCAGAUCCUAAAACAACAUAAAGGUGAUUGAGUAAGACUUAAGCCAGGACAACCCCCCAAGUUGAAUUAUAAAACACAAACCUAGAAGCAAUGUGAGAAAUACGAUCCUAUAGAUUAAGAAAAAUGAUUCCACCUUUAGUUAAUAGUUACUACUUGUUAACAUUUUAAAUUGCAAGGAAAUAUAGGUUAUUUGCACGUAAAAUGUGUACCUUUCAUUUCACCUUUAGGAUUCACAAUAACACCAGCAUUAUCUGAAAAUAAAGCACUUCUGAUUCAGAAACUUAAUCAAUAAAAUAUAUAAUAGUCAGCAAAUAGAAUAUUUGUAAUGCAUUAUCCCUACUAACACCAGAAACAUGCAAGCUUGACAAACUAAGUAAUGCAACCUGUUAAAAUAACCAGAAUGUUUACAACAGAUUCUAAGGACCCAAAUUGAACAGAUGCCAGCUUCAGAAAGCUAACACAUAAGAAUGCCAAUUUGCCAGAUAAGAAACUGUAAGUUGACUGCCAUACAGAAACCCACUGCCUUGUAUACGCUGAUACAACACAUUAACUAAUUAUAACCACAAAUAUGGUAUAACUAGUUGUGUUCUGACUAACCAGCAAAUACAAGCACCAAGAAGAAAAUUGCACAAAUGGCAAGCAGACACCUCUAUGUUGAAAAUAUUAAGAACUAUCCAACCUUGGCAGGUACAAUUUACGAACUUAAUGCAAAUGUAUCAAAUGUGCUCAAUAGAUUCAAAAUCAAAGAAACAAAUUGCCCUUUUUUUAAAGAAAAUGUAGCGUUCAAAUGGAGCAGAUAUGAGCUUUACAAGAGACUGCAAAUCUGUAACGAGGAACACAAUCAAUUUGCCAGACGUGUAACUGUAUCAACCACACAUAUAGGAGGAUACCUGACUUAUGUCUGGUGAUCUUUAUAUCAGAUAACUGCAUAAGUGAAUAAAUACUUUGACAACAGUUUCAGUGAAAAUUUUACUUGAAUUAUUUAAUGCCUGGUGAACCAUCAACACCUUAGUGCCAAAAGGAAGUAUUCCCGUUUAGGCAAGUAGACAUCUCUAAACUAAAAUAGAUAAAUAAAGUAAAUGGGUAUCCCAACCUUGACAGGGAUGAUAAUGAACUUACCAUCCGGAUUUGGGGUAAGGUCGGUGGUCUAAUGUUGCUGGGUAUGGGAAGUGUGGAGGAACAGUAAGGAAAAAAAUCCUCAACAACACAUCACCAGCAAAAAAGUGAACUUACCAUCUGGAUUUGGGGUAAGGUUGGUGGUCCAAGGACUAUAUCAAAACGCAAAAAGUGAGAUUCUACACUACAGUUGAGAUAUCCCACUCGAUAAAUUUUUGACUUUCUAAUUCACUAUUGCUGGUCUCAGGAAGCAUCUCAUCAUAGCACGCACAAAAACUUAGAAUCAAAUUAUGCAUGCAUCAAGACACAGCUUAACCAGCAACUUAUAUAAGCGUACUAAAUUUCUGUUCCUAAAAUCAACAAAACAUUCAAGUUUUGAGCUUCACUUGUGAGAUUCAACAUGGAUCAAUUACGCCAAAAAAAUUCUAUUUCCUAACAAACUAGGAUUGAACUUAUAAUCUUAGCACCACCAAGUCAAAUCCUCAAAAUAUGUAUAAGCAAGGUAUAGCUUCAGCUUCAGGCCAUCAGCACAACAGACAAGUUCAUUAAAAUAUAUGCAAGUUAUGAAUUCAAGCUAGAAAUAGUAGAAUCAUUGAUAACAUAAAUCAUCAACACACUAACGUAACAACCAAGCAAUCCACCUAUAAAUCAAGUAUCAAACCUAUUAAAUGCUCACGAGUUAGAUAUACUAAGUAAUAUAGAUCCCAGUAAACACAACAACAGUAAAAGAUAAUGACCUUCAAAGUACAUGUAGACUCCAUCCUUUCUGCGCCACGGCUUGCGCUGCCUAACAAUGACAGCGGGCAUGACCUUCUUCCUGAGAUCAGGCUUUCCUUUCUUAACAGUAGCCAUGACCAUGUCCCCAACACAAGCAGAGGGCAAGCGGUUCAAGCGACCCUUGAUUCCCUUCACCGAAAUGAUGUAGAGGUUCUUAGCACCAGUGUUAUCGGCGCAGUUCACGGUCGCCGCAACUGGCAGACCCAGUGACAUCCUGAACUUGUUACCCGCUGAUCCUCCACGUCCUGUACUAAGCAGCAAACAACCAAGUGAUUUUGUUUUACCAGGAAACAAAAAUAUCCGAAGGAAAUCAAACCAAACACAAGAUCUAUGAUCCUUUCAAUCUUUUUCAUGGUUCAAAAGCUAUGGAAAAUAGCAGAUAAUAGAAUAGAAAGCUAGACUGCUAAGCCAAAGAAUGAACAAAAAUAGAAUAGAAAGCUAGAUUGCUAAGCCAAAGAAUGAACAAACUGACCUCGCUUUGACAUUUUGAACAGCUGAAGGUGAAACGAAGUCUGCAAGUAGGGCUUUUAGGAAUUUAUAUAGAGAGCUCAGCAACUAGGGUUUUGUUCUUCA